rnacentral:tRNA from 1 species
GACCAGUUAGCUCAGUGGUUUGAGCGCAGUGCUGACAACAAUGACAACGCUGAUGUCGCGGGUUCGAUUCCCUCUCGGUCC